AAAAUUAAAAGUUAAAACAAAAUCCCUAACUAAGCCCGUGCCCUCCCCUCCCUCAGUCCCUCCUCCCUUUUUUCCCCAAUUCGAAAAUCUUCACCAUCACCUCCGGUCGACCCUCCUCCACCGAUCCACCUCCUGACCUCCGGUCCUCCACAGCUGACGGCUCCACCUAAUUCCAAAAUCAGAGGUAUGUUAACUUUUAUUUUUCUCUUAUUCUCUGCGAAUUUUAAAAGAAAAGAAUUCCUGCUCAACUGCUCUUUUUCAGUGAAGAAGAUAAUGCAGUGCAGUCUUUUUGACUAAUAUUUCUUUUCAAAUUCUCUUCUCUACUUCUUUUUUUCCCUAAUUGAAGAUAAUCUAAUAUUGAUUUGUAAUUGUAUUAUUGUUUUCCAGCCAAGAGAAGGAAGAAUCUCGGGUUUCAGAUUUUAAGGUAUGUUGAAAUUAGAGUUACAUGUUAAAUUUUCUAUUUUCUUAUUAUUAUUUGCUUAGUUUAGUUGAUUACUACGUGAAGGUUUUGUUUGGUUCAACUGUUGAACGUGCUGGAGUGGACAGUAUUUUCAUGUAUAUUUUUUACCUUUAAUUUAGUUUUGUUUGCUUAGUUUAGUUAAGGCUCUUGUGAGUUGUGACUCCAAGAACAAGUAGUUGCAAUAAAGGUGCAGGCAGGCAGGCAACCCCUUCAGUGGUCCUUGCUUGAGCCGCAACCUAUACUGGACUAGUAGUUUUUUUGGGGUAUAUGAUUUUGAGCCAUGGAGAAACCAUUCUAUCUAUGUAGCUAAAUAAAAAAAAGGAUGAUUGCUCUUUGGUAAGUUAUGACUGUGAAUAUAGCAAUGGAAACAACAGUGCCCCAACCAAACUUAUCAACCUCAAUUUCAUCCGAAUGACGAAUCACAACCUUCAUUUAACAGAAAACUCACUAAAUAUAUGAUAGGAACUUGAGCUGGUAAAAUAACUCAAAGAAGCACAAUUUGGCAAAAUAAAAACAUUUGUGCAGGAUGCGUUAUAAACAAGCUGACAAAGCAAAAAUCAAAUCUUUCAGAAAUUAUAUUUUAUAGUAAUUAGUAAUAGACAGUGGAGAAAAUGAAAUGGAGAGAUUGGAUGGUAAGUGGUAACUAUUCUUUGUGCUACAAAACAGAAAAGUAAAAAAAGGAUGAUUUUGCAUACAGCUUUUGCUUCUCAUUUAUAUGUAGUCAUAUGCACUAAUUAUCUGUGUCUCAAUCACCAUAGAUGGUCCACUUAUAGGUUUCAUGUCCUCUGCUUCAAGUUGUCACUCAGGUUUAAUCCCAACAAAGGAACAACUUGUGCCAGUGGAUUCAACCUAUGCAUUCCCUUCAGAACAUUACAAUAUUUGUAAUGUAACUUUCUUGAAUUAAAGCAUGUAAUGGGACACUGUUCUUCCUCAGCAGUCAUUAAAAAAACUGUGGGGUUCUCUUAUGUCUCUAUCAGCAUUAGUUAAAACCCAUUUUUCUGCCUUGGAAAAAUGAUCAAAAAGCAAGAAUCAAGCUGGAAUAUUUUAUGUUUAUCUCCCCUGGUUGAGAUGGAAAGGGUGGUGUUGAUCUCCCCUGGUCAAAUGCCACAUUGUAAAGGUUUUGCUUUAUAUUUUAUGUUUAACUGUUGAAACUAGAAACAAGCUGGAAUAUUUUAUGUUUAUGUAUUUUUUUUUAGGGAAUAGAUCUUUACAAUUUUAUUUAGGGAUUUGGUAUGAUGCAACUUCAAACAAUGGAAGAUGGUAAUAUAUAAAUUUUAAUUUAUAAAAUAAGCUUUUGUAUUCUUUAUAUUAGUAAUAGUAAGCAUUCCCAUAAUUUAACUAACACUUUUGUUUUUAAAUUUGCUAGACUUAUAAUACCCGAAGAUCAAGAAGGUAACAUACAUACUUAGCGUUAGUUUAUAAAGUUAAAUGUUUAUUUAAUUUAUUUUUGCAAAAAAAAAUUAUUAUUUAACUAACUCAUUCAAUACUUUUACUAGAUGUUUCAAGAUUAUCAACGGUGUUCGAAGCACAAGAAAAAACUUAAACGUUUCUAUAAUGGUUUUUGAACUGAUGUGUUAUUGUUAUUAGUUUGGUUUGGUUUGUUAUUGUUGUUGGUUAAUUGGACUUUUGUUAUGUUAUUUUGGUGUAGGUUUCUAUUGUAUUUUGGACUUUUGUUGCUUAUGUUUUAUUUUUUUAUUAUAAUGUUGUUUAUUUCGACUCAUGCUAUUUACUUGGACUUUUACUUAUGUUUUUUAUUAUAAUCUUUUUGUAUUAAUUUUGUUGUUUAUUUGGAAUCAUGUUGUUUAUUUGGGUUGAUGUUGUGUUACUUUUAUUUAUUCACUUAUUUACUUCAAUUUUUGUUGUAUGAUUAUGUUUAAAAACUUUAAAGAAAAUUAUUUUUUGAAAAAUUACAUAAAAAUAAACAACAAUAAUUUUAUUUUAUUUUUAAACUUAACUCGAACAAAUAAUUCGAUUCGAUUCGAUUCGAUUUCUAUCUCACUCGAUUCGAUUCGAUAAAACUUCAAAUAAAGUUAGGAUGAUAAAAUGAGAUUCGAAAACUCGAUUAACUCGAAAAUUUUCGAUUCGAUCGAAUGCUCACCCCUACCAAGGACAAUCAUCUUUUCCCUCCUCCUCAAUAUUACAGCAAUGAGCUAGGGUCUCAUAGAUACUCAUCUGAAUAGGCCUCAUUGCCUCAAGUUUAUUCACCUGAAUCAUCGAAGUCAGCCAUCUGGUUUUCCUCUCGUGGGAGAUAAUAGAAGGUGAUAUCAUCAAACUCAUCAGCCAAUUCGAGGACCAGUUUUCUAUAAUCGAUUAACUUACGGUCCCUGGUCUCCCAUUCUCCUUUAAGUUGGUAUAUCACCAAUGCAGAAUCCCCAUAUACUCUUAGCACUUUGAUGCUUCGUUCAAUGGCUGCACAAAUGCCCAUAAUACAUGCUUCAUAUUCUGCCAUAUUAUUUGUGCAAUCGAAGUUCAACUUGCUAGCAACAGGAUAAUGAUCUCCCUUUGGGGAUACCAAGACUGCCCCAAUUCCAUUACCUGUAGCAUUCGAAUCUCCAUCGAAAUUUAACCUCCAUACGUUAUCCAUUUGAGGAUUCUCUUCGGUGCUCACCACAUACAUCAGGUCCUCAUUUGGAAAAUCGAAGUCCAAUGGCUCAUAGUCUUCCAAAGCUCUACUAGCUAAGAAGUCAGCUAUCGCACUUCCCUUUACGGCCUUCUGACUUACAUAAACUAUGUCAAACUCAGAUAGCAGAAUCUGUCAUCUAGCCAUUCUCCCGUUUAAAGCAGUUGAUUCCAUCAUAUACUUCAAAGGAUCCAACUUUGAAAUCAACCAAGUCGUAUGAUACAACAUAUACUGCCUUAAUCUUCGGGUUGCCUAGAUUAAAGCACAACACAACUUCUCAAUUGACGAGUAUCUCAUUUCGCAAUCAGUAUUUGCUGAGAUAGUAUAUUGCCCUUUCUUUCUUUCCUGUCUCAUCAUGUUGGCCCAAUACGCAUCCCAUAGAAUUCUCAAACACUGUUAGAUACAGUAUCAAUGGCCUAUCUAGACUUGGCGGCGAUAGUACUGGAGUAUUAGCCAAGUAUUGCUUUAUCUUAUCGAAAGCCCUUUGACAUUCCUCAUCUCAUUCACCCGGAUUAUGUUUCUUUAAGAGACGGAACACUGGAUCACAUUUCUCCGUCAAUUGUGAAAUGAAUCGAGCAAUGUAAUUCAAUCUCCCCAGGAAACUUCGAACUUCUUUCUGAGUACGCGGGGGAGGUAAGUCUCGUAUUGCCUUUACUUUGUCAGGGUCAACCUUAAUUCCCUUUUUGCUAACUAUGAAGCCUAAUAACUUCCCCGAUCGAGCUCCAAACGUGCAUUUUGUCGGGUUAAGCUUAAGCUGAAAUUUCCUCAAUCUCAAAAAUAACUUUUUCAAGACUUGAAUAUGCUCUUCUUCAGUUUUAAACUUCGCGAUCAUAUCAUCAACAUAAACUUCGAUCUCCUUAUGCAUCAUGUCAUGAAACAAAGUCACCAUAGCUCUUUGAUAUGUUGCUCCUGCAUUCUUCAAUCCGAAGGGCAUUACUUUGUAGCAAAAUGUUCCCUAUAAAGUAAUGAAUGUUGUUUUUCCCAUAUCUUUAAGGUGCAUCUUUAUUUGAUUGUAACCAGAAAAACCAUCCAUGAAAGAGAAUAAUGAGUAUCCUGCCGUAUUAUCUACCAAAGUAUCAAUGUGAGGCAAUGGAAAAUUGUCCUUUGGACUAGCCUUGUUCAAGUCUCUGUAAUCCACGCACAUUCGUACAUUUCCAUCCUUCUUGGGAACAGGGACAAUGUUUGCUACCCAAUCUGAAUAUUUGAUUUCUUGUAAGAAUCCAGCGUCAAAUUGUCUUUUGAAUUCUUCCUUUAUUUUCAACACAACAUCGGGUCUCAUCCUUUUGAGCUUCUGCUGAACUGGUUUACAAUCUUCUUUUAUGGGCAAACGAUGUACCACAAUGCUAGUACUUAACCCCGGCAUAUCUUGGUAUGACCACGUGAAAACAUCUUUCAACUCUCGGAGCAAUUCAAUGAGGUCUUGUUUUGUCUCUGCGGUGAUCUCAGUUCCAAUUUUCACCUCUUUUCCAUCCUCUAGGCUCACGAUUUCCAAUGAUUCACUAUGAGGUAGGAUCUGUUUAUCCUCUUAUUCCACCAUUCUUAACAAGUCCGGAGACACACCAUAAUCUUCGUCAUUUUCAAAGUCGUGAGAUCCCUCCAAACACAUUUCUUGCUUAAAAAUAGAGUUCGUGUUUGAAGCAGCGUUACUCAUGUCAUUGAUAUCUAAAGACCUAUGAGGGCAUAUCAAGGAAUAUACCAAGAAUAUAUAAAUUUGUGAAUAAAUAUUUGUGCAAAAGAGUUACAAAUGAAAGAAUUAUUUGUAAGGCAAUCAAUCAAAUGGAAAAUAUUUAUUUGCAUAUAAAAGGAAAAAAAGUGACUGAUCGAGAUGAAUGUAGAUAUGCAUUUCAUUAAAAUAAUGAUAUUUAGGCCCAAUGCCUAUUUCACAAAAGAUUUCAUAUCGUUCCUAGGCCAAAAACAACAGGAAUAUUUUGAGCAUUACUCUGAAUAAGCCCUAAAGACUACAGGGAUUUCUUCAGCAGUCCAAUUGUUUAGCUCGCUUCCAGGCUCAUAAGGGCAGAUCUCCAACAAGGCCCUUUUUUCUGCUGCUUUUGUAGCGUUGAUAUAAACAUUUUCCAACAUUCCUUCAAUGCCUUUGCUACCGGACACUCCACACUCAGAAUGAAUAAAUCCUCCCGACACAAAAGAUGUAGAUAUAUGGGGAAAGGUUAAAGGCUCCCACUUAGCUUCAUAUCCAUUCAAACGCACCAUUCUUUUCUCUUGUCUCUUCUCUACUUCUUUCUUCUUCUGCUUCAUGUCUGGCUUGUAUCCUAAGCCAAAACUAUCAAACUUUUCCUUCAGCAUUGGUGCUUCAAUCCUUCCCUGAAGAUGUUUUCCCAAUCCUUUUCCUGGUGAGGCUCCUCUUCCUACCAUCAUUCGUAACCCCAUUUCGGUGGUCCUAGAUAUUUUCGGUACUAGAAUUCUGCUUCCCUUCGUAAUAAAUAUCGCAUUCACAAAUUUUAACGAUCGAAAAGAACAUUCCAGUGCCUCAUCGUUGAUGUCUACAUAAGGUGCAUCACUAGUCAUCAUGGCGAUAAUAUCCUCCUCUGCAUCUAUUGUUACCAACCGACCCUCCGAUACCAACUUCACCUUCUGAUGUAAUGAUGAAGGUACUGCCCCUGCUGAGUGUAUCCACGGUCUUCCCAAUAGAUAGUUGUAGGAAGGCUUAAUAUCUAUUACCAAGAAGUCCACCUCAUAAGUGAUUGGGCCAAUCCUUAACGGUACCUCAAUUCUUCCCAUAACCUUUUUUUUCGUCCCAUCAAAUGCCCUUACUAUGCUCUGGCACGCUUUCAUGUGCGAAUUGUCCACCGGUAAUCGACUAAGAGUGGAUAGAGGUAAUACAUUCAAUGCAAACCCAUUAUCAACCAGGGCCCCCGGGAGUGUGUACCCCUUUGCAUCGGACAGUAACGUGCAGGGCUUUAGUAGAACCCCUUCCUUCGGAUGGUAUUUUGUCACCAUUGAAGAAAAUAAAAUUGUCAGCGCCUAUAUUGUUGAUCAACCAAUCUAGCUUGUUUACCGAAAUAUCGUCAGCCACAUAUGUUUCAUUUAGUACCUUCAGAAGUGUAUUUUGAUGUACUUCUGAGCUUAGGAGUAAAGCUAAUACAGAAAUACAGGCUAGCUGUUUGUGCAGUUGCUCUACAAUACUGUAUUCACUAUGUUUCAGAAACUUCAAAAACUCUUUUGCCUCAUCUUCCUUUAUUGGUUCAUUAACCAAUGGCUCAACUUCUGCUGCUUUCCCUUUCCUCUGUUCUUUCUUCCAAUUCUCUUUCCUGGACGACUCUGCUUGAGUGUCAUAUCGUUUCCCAUUGCGCGUGUAAGAACCUAUUUCCUGGCUUUUUUUCGCUUCUUUUCCCAAGAUGGUCACAUUGCACCCAUAAUUCCACGGCACCAUUUUGCUAUCCUUAUAUAAGAAAUUUGAUUGUUUUUGAAUUACAACUUUCGGUGUUACCUGAGCCCUAGCCUCAUUACCCUUAGGGCGUGAGAUAAUGACCACAGGAUGAUUUAUUUUCGGAGUUCCUGUUCCUGACUCUGUCGCGCAUAUGCUCCUCUUUUCUCCGCCUCUUCACAAAACCUCAUCUCCUUGUUAUCCAUCAUACUUUGAACUAAAGCCCUGGAUCCUUCACAUUCUUGGAUUUCGUGCCCUGUUUUAUGGUGGAAUUCACAAUAAUUUCCCAUCUCAUAUCCUUCAUCAAAAUCCGAAAUAACUAACCCUCUCUUUGCCAUCUCUUUCCAGACCAGUUUCAACGGAGUUUUUACUUCGGCAAUGUCAGACUUGACUUCUCCUCUUGUACCUUCGCUCACCAUAUUCACCCCCUUAUCAGCGUGAUUAGGUAACAGAUUUUCUACGUUAGGUGAGUUGUCAAGUUUGACAACACCUAAUUUGAUAAGUCAUUCCACUACCUUCUUGAAAGCUGUACAAUUUUCUAUUGAGUGCCCUUAAAUUCCCGCGUGAUAAUCACAUUGUGCGUUCAUGUCAUACCAUUUUGGAUACGGGGGUUGUAGAGGACUCAAGUAACGAGGGGCAACAACAUGUGCAUUGAAUAAAGUCUGAUACAACUCCUUGUAUGACAUUAGGAUUGGCGUGAAUUGGGGCUUUUCAGUAGUUUGCCUAACUCUCGACUCUUGUCUUGACGAUCCAUGUUGAUUAGCAACCACUUUCUUUGGUUGAUUCACAGUAAUUGACCUACCGUAGGGAUUCACAUUAUUCACUUGAUUUUCUCUUUUCCUCGGGGUUGCCCUUCUAUUAUUCUCCCCUCCAUCUACUCUUCCACUUUUAAUGGCAUGCUCAAUCAUUUCACCAUUCAUGAUUAUAUCCAAUAAAUUCUUUAAAGCGCUUCCCAACAUGUGAGUAAUGAAUGGGGUCUUCAAUGUAUUAAUAAAAAAUGUCGUCAUCUCUUUUUCCAAAAGCGGUGGAUGCACCUGAACCGCCACUUUUCUCCACCUCUGCGCAUACUGUCUGAAGCUUUCGUUCGAUUUUUUUUUAAAUUCUACAGAGUUAUCCUGUCAGGCAUCAUUUCCGAGACAUGAUUGUACAGCCUCAUGAAAGCCUGUGCCAAAUCCCUCCAAGUAGCAAUUUUUGUUCUGCUCAGCUGAUUGUACCAUUUUGACACCGCUCCUGUAAGACUUUCCUAAAAGUAAUGUAUUAAUAAUUUAUCAUUAUUAAUAUACCCUGUCAUUCUUCUGCAAAACAUAGUAAUAUGGGCUUCUGGGCAACUGGUCCCGUUAUAUUUCUCGAAUUCCGGCAUUUUAAAUUUGUAAGGUAGCACCAAGUCCAGAACCAAGCUCAGAUCUUUUGCGUCUAUCCCAUGAUAGCUUUCAAUGCUUUCUAUUACCCUAAACUUCUCUUCUAUCCAUUUCUAUUUCUCCUCAAAUUAUUUUGGAAGUUCCUCCUUCGCCUCGUCCUUUUCAGCCAUCUCAUCAAGAUCUGGGAUAGCAAUAUUAUUCGGGCUAUCACCGGGAUUAGAGCCCGCUCCGGGUUGAAAAUUCAUUGGUAUUGAAGCAUCGCCUUGGAACUGCUGAAGCCUAACCGACACAGAGGGUCUUCGCGGAUGCAGCUCAGUCUGAACCUGCGCAUGCGGAGGCGUGAAACCUGGAGGAUAAAGUGGUUCGCCAUUGUUUUCUUCCUCAUUAAUAAUCACAGGUCCUUUCCCCUUAUCUACUCCCUUCAAUAAUUGCGUCAUCUUAGUUAUCAGAUCAUUUUGAGACUCUUGCAUCUUUUGUACCAUGUCAUGCUGAAUCUUUUCUAUUUGUUCUUUCAUUUACGCCUGCAGCUGGUCUUGCAUUUCCUUUUGAAGUCGCUCUAGCUUUUCCAACCUUUGGUCCAUAAUUUUUGACUUAGCUUGGGUGUCGUAACUUUGUCGGUUUUCCAGAUUAACUGAAAUAAUUUUAUUCAAUUAGGGUUUUUUAAUGGUCAUUAAUGCAUACGAUGUGAUGCAAUGCAUGAAAAGAAUGCAAAAAAGAGGCACUGAUUCUAAUUCAACUUCAUUAGAAAACUUUACUAGAGAAGAAGUUUCUUUACAUAAAAUAAAUUACAUAUAUGGCUUUGCUCUUACACUCAAAGCCAUAACCUUUCUAAGAAGCCAAGUUAAUUCUCGGUCCUGGUCUGACUCCGACUCAUACUUCAAACUUAAUAGAUCAGCCUGAACCGCUAGGGUUUGUAGAUGAUCAGCUACUUCACGUACUUGAGCCACCGCCUCGCCCAUAAUAUAAUCUCUUUCUCUGAUCUGAUCUUGAGACCGAUGGAAUUGCCCUUGCCACUGCUCAUUACUUUUUUUCAGAAGCUCUAUUCGGAGUUCACUAUUUUGCAAUGCAUCCUCAAGCUCUCCUACUUGUCCUUUUAAUUCUUCAAUUUUGUCUAAGCUUGCCUUUAAUUCAACCGUAGAAUUACGACUACGGUACUGGUGAAGCGAUUUUUCUAGUUUAGUUACUCAGACCUUCAACUCCGUCUUCUCGUUUUGGCAGACUAGUAGACUUUUUCCCAAAGCAACUUCUCGAGCUCUAGUAUCCAGAAAUUUCUUUUCCCACUGAUUAGCUUUCGUUUUUUUCUCCUGAAUUUCCUGUCGCCAUUGUUCUGGCGUUUUACCCAAGCCAGCAGUUCUUAUUGACCUACGCAACUUCUUGUAAUCUGUCUUCAGGCUGUCUAAAUCUUCUUCUGCCUUGUUCUUUCCUUUUCUCAAUUUGUCGACCUUUAGUCUUUGAAUGUCUACAUCCAGUCCUAACUGUAUUUUUUCUUCCUCUAGUUGCUCUAUCUUCUUCCCUAACUCCAAACUCCUCUUUUCAAAUUCUUGUUUGAUGAUUUCUAUCUCAGAGGGUAAUAUUUGCAAGUGCUCCUCUAAAGAUCGAGCAGUUUCUGGAAUUGAUGUUGGGAUAUUGUCGUUGACCCUUUGAUCACGCCACUGACUAUACUCGGGGGUCAUCACCGGUCCCACAGCUAAGAUUUUUAUUCGGCGAGUCUGGUUCCAGGCAUUAGACAUUUCUCGAACCCUUUUUCUUGUAAUUGUCCUCCUUAUAGGAAAAUUCAAAAUGGGCCAACCCUUGUGUUGUUGGUAUGAAUUGUCGUGAUCUAAACUGUCUUGAUACGAGUAGAGGAGCAUAUUCGAUAGCCCCCCAUAUUUCGAGCAGAGGAACCCAGUCAAAAUCUCCGCACCGGUAUAAAAUCUCAUCAGGAAUUAACCAAUGAGCCCUCCAUUCAGCAUCUUCAUCUUGGAGAUUCUUGAGUAUCGCCAUCCACUUUUCUUCUGAAAUGUCAUCCCGUCUUGGCGUGGUCACCAAUUCUUCUAGAGGAGAGUAGCUAUUAGAGAAUACCCGAUAAGAGAUCUUUUCUACUUUCUAGAAGUGGCUAUGAAACCAUGCUAGUAAAAGCUGGGCACAUCCAAUGAACCUUCCCUCUCCAGCUCUCCGGCAUGCGUUCAAAGAUCUGAAAGUUUCAGCCAGUAUUGCCGGAACGGGAGUAACCCCUUUACCAAGCCGAUCAAAUAGAUCAGAAAUGACCUCGUCUAUAUGUCCUAAUACUUUGGGGAAGACCACUAGUCCGUAGAUACCUAAAGCGAAGACAUUGACCCUUUUCUUUACAUUAGGAUGUACUAGCACCAAAUUUUGCAAGCUUUUUCAAGGAACGCAUUUACUAUCGCCUUUUUGCUGGAUUCGGGCAGCAACCCACUAUUCACUCAUCCCAGUAAUGUUCAUUAAUUUCUUUAACAACGGAAGGGCCCCAACAGCUCUAGAAUAAGCCUUGUCGACUUGAAUCUUUGGGCACCGAAGUAAGGUCGUAUACUCCUCCACAGUAGGCGUCAAGUCCACUUUUCCGAAAGUGAAACAACCAUAGGCAGGAUUCCAAAAUUGAGCAAGGGCUCGAAAUAAAUACUUGUCUACUUUGAUACUGAGCAGAUAAGGCAGGUCACCGUAGUUACAAUAGAACAGCUACUUGGUUUCAUUAUCUAAUUUAUCCCAAAUUUCUUUCAUUUCUCGAAGAUCAUUCUAGAUUACACUGAUACGGGUGAAAUCCCACAGUUCUGACAUGUGUUCCUCAGUAAGACUAUCGUCUUUCUCCCGUUGUGUCGUCUCAGCUCAUAUUCGCACAGCCGCAUUAUCUUCUACUUUAUCAAAAAACCCAUUUUCCAUGAUAAGCUUUCUAUCUAGAUACUGAACGUGAAUCGACACCUCUUUUAGAAUGAAAAUGCCAUACAAUCACAAACAAACAAAUCAGUAUUAAACACCGAACAAGAUCUAGAGUAAAUGAUAAUAAAUAAAGCAUCCAUUUGGGUAAGUACUAUGGUUUGGCGCAGUUCCAUCUAGGUGGGUUCCUAUGGCUCACUACAUGUGGUUUAGUUCUAGAGUAAAGGUACCCGAACCAGCAGAUUCCUCGAUCCUCACCCAUUAUAGGCUCAUAUUGACCGAGUUCAGUUCAGGAGAAUACAUUUCCCUAUGGCCAUGCGGAGAUGAAAAUCUCACGAAGACAUAGGUAUGGAUGUAUCCUGAAAGUGAUUCACUAUCCCAUGCGGAGGUGAAAACCUCACGAAGGCGUAGCUUCUCACUCCCACUUAAAAGGUGUGACCCACGGUCAUGCAAUGCAAUGCGCAGAAGCAUAUCUGAAUUUAAACUAAUCACAAUGAUGAAGAUCGUAAUAAAGACGAAUAAAAUGCAACGAAAGGAUCGUAUAUUUAAAUCAAGUUUUUGAUUUUCGAGAAAAAGACAAAAAGUAAUCAACACGUGGCUUGACUCUCAGUUUCAUGUCCCCAGUGGAGUCGCCAAGCUGUUGACACCAUUUUUGUUGAAAACUGGGUCGACUUGGAUUUGAAAAUGAAACGAAAAAAACGGGAGUCGCCACCAAUCCUUUGUUAUGAGGUGUGAUUGGGUCACCUUGAAAAAUGGUUGUUUUUAAUAAAUGAUUUGAUUUUAUUAAAACAACGGUUUUGGUCCACGAAAUUUAGAAAACAAGUUCGGGAGUCGGUUACGUACAAGGAAGGAUUAGCACCCUCGUAACGCCAAAAAAUUGGUACCUAGUUGAUUAACUAAUGUCUUGAUGUCGAAAAUUGAAAACUUGGAAAAAUUAAAAAUACGAUCCUUGUGUUAAAAAAUUUGGAAAAGAAGCAUAUUUCACGUUAUUCGAGAAAGAGAAUCAUAUCCAGUGAGUUAGGACACAAUGUCUCGAAUUCCCGAUACGUGAAUGAAAAAUGCUUAUUAAAAAAUAUUUUAUUCAUCUCGAAUUUGAAAACGAGAUCACGACCAGUAAGUUAGGACGCAAUUUUUUAAUCCCGAGAUCAUUUAAAAUUUGAGUUUAAAAAGAUUCAUGCAUUUAGAUUUAUCGUGAAAAUCAAAACCCAGUAAGUUAGGGUACGAUCCUCUCGAAUCUAAACACGAAAUAUUACUUGUUCAAAACAAAUUUUGUUAAAUCGAGUAUAAUAAAAGACGAAAAUCGUAACAAAAAAUGCGAAAACAAAUUGCAUUGUUGUUAUGCACGGUAAAAUCAUAAUGCACGCAAAAGUAUAAUAGCAAAAAUAAAAUCGAACCUACAACAUCCAAACAAGUAAAAUAUAAAAACGAAUAAAAUUAAAACCAUUCAAAAUAAUAAUAAGAGUGUAAACGAAUAAAUAAAUAAAGAAAAUGAAUAGAAUUAUGAAAAUGUAAAAAAGAUAUAUGUAUGUACAUAUAUAAAAAUAUGUAAGUAUGUGUAUAUAUAUUUAUAAAAACUAAAAAAAUAUGUACGUAUAAAUAUAUUAUGUAAAUGCGUUCACGUGAAUAUAUAUAUACUUUGAAAUUAUAAAAUAAAACAUAUGUACUUGUUUUAAAAAUAUUAUAUAAAAAAUAUAUAUAUAGAAGUAAGUAUAUACAUAUUCGUGAGAAAAAAAUAUAAAUAUACAUAUAUAUAAAUAUAUAUAUAAAAUGAGUAUUUAUGUAUGUAUAUAUAAAAAAUAUAUAAGUAUAUAUGUACAUGUGUAAGCGAUUAUAUGAAAAUAAUAUGUCACAUAUAUCUAAGAUUUAUAAAAAUAAUUAUAAGUGUAAAUAUAAUGAUAGUCAUAAUAGUAUUAAUAAUAAUACUAAGGAUAAUAAUAAUAAUAAUAAUAAUAAUAAUAAUAAUAAUAAUAAUUGAUUAAACAAUAAAAUUGCUAGAAAAAGGGAUUAAAUCGAAAUAAAAACAUAAAUGCUGGGCGAAAUCGAAAUAAAAAAACAAAAAAGGACUAAAUCGUGAUACACGCCGAAAGAGGGGGACCCAAAUCUGCAAAUAAACCGAAGCCCUCAAGACGCAGCGUAGUAGUAGACUAAAUUGAGAGAAAGAUAAAAAUUUGUGGCCAAAUUAAAAAUAAAAAGGAAAUAGCGAAAUAGGACCAAAUUGAAACACGCCACAAAAAGGAGGGACUACUCGCACAAAUAGCCCAAAAAUUAAAAACACGCGGAUCCUCCGGGUCGGGUAGGGUCGACACGCAGAUCCCCUUACCCAAAAUGGCGCCAUUUUAAAAUUAAUAUAAAUACUAUGAAAAUACUAGAAAAACAGUUUCAUCUUCAUUUUCAACAAAAACAGAGAGAGAGUCAGAACUCUCUCAACACCGACCAAAGGCUCCGGCGCACCUCCGCCGUAGCUCCGCCAUAGACGGCGGCUGAAGGUGCGAAACAAAACCUUUCCUAGCCCCGCUUGAAGGCCCCCUUUAGAACUCGGAUUCAAGGUCGAAUCCUUAAAAAAACGAGUCAAAACCGAAAAGAAGAGAAGGAAUCCGUUCGCAUUCCCUCCACUCCGGCGCGGCGCAGGUAAGGCUUCUUUUUGGUUUUCUUUUCUUUUUAGUAUGAACAAUAAAGAAGAACAAAAAUAAAAAAAAAUGAGCAAAAUGUAAGAAAUACGAAGAGAAAAAAAAACCUUUUUAAGAAAUCUUUUUCUUUUAUUUCUCUUUAAUGUUCGUGAAUAGAUCCCCCCUUUUACAUUUGGUUGCUGGCUUAUAUAGCCAAAUGUUUUACAUUUUUCGUUUUUCUCUUUUCUUUUCUGCCUUGCUAUUAUUUCUUCUUUUGCAGGUAUUCCUUUCGGCUUUCCUUUGCAGAUGUUACGGUCAACGGAGGAAAAGAUUUGCCGUUUUGGUGCAAGGGUGGCUGGCGGUGGCAGACCUCGGGCGACGAGUACGCUGGAGGCACAUGGGUAGCAAGAUGCGGCACACUAGGGUUUCUAGGUUUCUGAUUUUUGCUGAAACUAGUUAAGGUUUUGGGCUUAUUGGGCCCUGGGUCAUGGGUUUGUAGUUUGGGUUGUAAUUUUGGGCCCGGGCAUAAAUUGGGUCUUACAUUGUUUUUUCAACUCCACAAUGGCGAAUGCUAUUAGCAGCACAUUUCAAUUUUUUUCUUGUGCAACCGUAAUAAAGAGGGUCUGUGUAUAUUUC
rnacentral:lncRNA from 1 species